UACGUAGGGGGGCAAGCGUUGUCCGGAUUUAUUGGGCGUAAAGAGCGUGUAGGCGGCCUGACAGGUCUGCUGUGAAAACUCGAGGCUCAACCUCGAGAUGUCGGCGGAAACCGUCUGGCUAGAGUCCGGAAGAGGAGAGUGGAAUUCCUGGUGUAGCGGUGAAAUGCGCAGAUAUCUGGAGGAACACCGGUGGCGAAGGCGGGUCUCUGGGCAUGUCCUGACGCUGAGGAGCGAAAGUGUGGGGGAGCGAACAGG
rnacentral:rRNA from 1 species